GACGAACGCUGGCGGCGUGCUUAACACAUGCAAGUUGAACGGAAAGGCCCUGCUUUUGUGGGGUGCUCGAGUGGCGAACGGGUGAGUAACACGUGAGUAACCUGCCCUUGACCUUGGGAUAACUUCAGGAAACUGGGGCUAAUACCGGAUAGGAGCUCCUGCUGCAUGGUGGGGGUUGGAAAGUUUCGGCGGUUGGGGAUGGACUCGCGGCUUAUCAGCUUGUUGGUGGGGUAGUGGCUUACCAAGGCUUUGACGGGUAGCCGGCCUGAGAGGGUGACCGGCCACAUUGGGACUGAGAUACGGCCCAGACUCCUACGGGAGGCAGCAGUGGGGAAUAUUGCACAAUGGGCGGAAGCCUGAUGCAGCAACGCCGCGUGCGGGAUGACGGCCUUCGGGUUGUAAACCGCUUUCGCCUGUGACGAAGCGUGAGUGACGGUAAUGGGUAAAGAAGCACCGGCUAACUACGUG
rnacentral:rRNA from 1 species